rnacentral:rRNA from 1 species
AUUGAACGCUGGCGGCAGGCCUAACACAUGCAAGUCGAGCGGAGCGGCGGACGGGCGAGUAAUGACUAGGAAUCUGCCUGGUCGUGGGGGAUAACGUCCGGAAACGGGCGCUAAUACCGCAUCCUAUCAGAUGAGCCUAGGUCGGAUUGGCUAGUUGGUGGGGUAAAGGCCUACCAAGGCGACGAUCCGUACAGGGUCUGAGAGGCUGAUCAGUCACACUGGAACUGAGACACGGUCCAUACUCCUACGGGAGGCAGCAGUGGGGAAUAUUGGACAAUGGGCGAAAGCCUGAUCCAGCCAUGCCGCGUGUGUGAAGAAGGUCGUCGGAUUGUAAAGCACUUUAAGUUGGGAGGCGUUACCAACAGAAGAAGCACCGGCUAACUUCGUGCCAGCAGCCGCGGUAAUUC